AGAGAGAGACAUGCGCGCAUAUCAAUAAGCGGAGGAAAAGAAACUAACAAGGAUUCCCCUAGUAACGGUGAGUGAAGCGGGAAGAGCUCAAAUUUGAAAUCUUAAAGGGUUUCCCUUUACGAAUUGUAGUUUAAAGAAGUGUUUUCUGUUGAGGUUUUGGUAAAAGUUCUUUGGAAUAGGACAUCAUAGAGGGUGAGAAUCCCGUAUUUGACCUUUACUUUCAACUUUGUGAUACACUUUCAAAGAGUCGGAUUGUUUGGGAAUGCAGUCCAAAAUGGGUGGUAAAUUUCAUCUAAAGCUAAAUAUUGGCGAGAGACCGAUAGCGAACAAGUACCGUGAGGGAAAGAUGAAAAGAACUUUGAAAAGAGAGUUAAACAGUACGUGAAAUUGUCAAAAGGGAAGCGUUUGACACCAGUGUUGUUUUUCUGAAAAUCAAUUAAAGAACUGUUUAUGCUAAGCUGUUUAGACUUUAUCAGCUAACUGUUUAGUUUUGAGCUUUUCUUUAAUGCACUUUUCAGUUAACAAGUCAACAUCAAUUUCUUUUGCUGUAAAAAAGCUUGAGGAAGGUGGCUUGAGAUUCGUCUUAAGUGUUUAUAGCCUCUUGCCUAUGCAGUCGGAGAGAUUGAGGUCUGCAGCGUAGAUCCUUCGGGGCUAAAUGCAUUUGUGCUAAGUUAUAACAUUUUAUAGACAACUUGUUGACUAUGAUUUGUCUUGUAGCUUACUCGCUUAUGUUAUUUUACCUACGCUUAGGAUGUUGAGCGCAUGUCUCUCUCU
rnacentral:rRNA from 1 species